GACGAACGCUGGCGGCGUGCCUAAUACAUGCAAGUAGGACGCAGUUGCGAACGGGUGAGUAACGCGUAGGUAACUGACUCUUAGAGUGGGAUAACUAUUGGAAAAGAUAGCUAAUAACGCAUACUAGUCGCUGGACCUGCUUUGUAUUAGCUAGUAGGUAGGGUAAUGGCCUACCUAGGCGACGAUCCAUAGCCGACCGGAGAGGGUGAGAGGCAACAAUGGGAAUGAGACACGGACGAGAAGCCUACGGGAGGCAGCAGUAGGGAAACUUCGGCAAUGGGGGGAACCCUGAACGAGCAACGCAGGGGGAGUGAAGAAGGUGGUCGGAUCGUAAAGCGCUGUUGUUAAGGAAGCGGUACUUAACCAGAAAGGGACGGCUAACUACGUGCCAGCCGCCGCGGUAAUAC
rnacentral:rRNA from 1 species